rnacentral:rRNA from 1 species
AGCAGCCGCGGUAAUUCCAGCUCCAAUAGCGUAUAUUAAAGUUGUUGCAGUUAAAAAGCUCGUAGUUGAAUUUCGGGGUUAGUAGGUUGGUCAUGCCACUGGUAUGUACUGGUCUCACUGAUUCCUCCUUCCUGAUGAACCGUAAUGCCAUUAAUUUGGUGUUGCGGGGAGACUGGACUGUUACUUUGAAAAAAUUAGAGUGUUUAAAGCAGGCUAACGCUUGAAUACAUUAGCAUGGAAUAAUGAAAUAGGACGUUCGAUCCUAUUUUGUUGGUUUCUAGGAUUGACGUAAUGAUUAAUAGGGAUAGUUGGGGGCAUUAGUAUUCAAUUGUCAGAGGUGAAAUUCUUGGAUUUAUUGAAGACUAACUACUGCGAAAGCAUUUGCCAAGGAUGUUUUCAUUAAUCAAGAACGAAAGUUAGGGGAUCGAAGACGAUCAGAUACCGUCGUAGUCUUAACCAUAAACUAUAGCCGACUAGGGAUCGGAUGAUGUUAAUUUUUUAAUGUACUCAUUCGGCGUAC